AUACGGAGGGUGCAAGCGUUACUCGGAAUCACUGGGCGUAAAGCGCGCGCAGGCGGCUAUUUAAGUUGGAUGUGAAAGCCUACGGCUCAACCGUAGAACUGCAUCCAAAACUAUUUAGCUAGAGUGUGGGAGAGGAAGAUGGAAUUAGUUGUGUAGGGGUAAAAUCCGUAGAGAUAACUAGGAAUACCAAAAGCGAAGGCAAUCUUCUGGAACACUACUGACGCUGAGGCGCGAAGGCGUGGGGAGCAAACAGGAUUAGAAACCCUAGUAGUCC
rnacentral:rRNA from 1 species